CAGACACCCCAAGCCCUCGUCACUGAGCCCCCUCAGUUGCUCUCACAGGCUGUGCCCUGUCUGGAGCUGGUGUGAGAGCAGGGCUCAGGACCCCAGAAUUCCUACUCCACGACCCUUUUCAGGACCCCUACCCUAGUACUCACCCGAGUGACUGUGAGGGAUCUGUAGUGUCCCGAGAGCUGAGGCUGCAGUGUGGCUGAGCUGUGUCCUUGAACUAUUGCCUUUAAUUCCAGGGAAGACCUCGUGUUGAUGCGCCCUCCUCCAGGCUGAGCUCCUGUCAUGGCCCCACUCCUCCCCGACCCUCCAAGCCCCUGUUCUGCCCUUUGGCCUCACCCUGGCCUUACAUCGCUGAAGGCACUGUGUUCGGCUACAAGUCUGCCAGUCGGAGGCUCCUAGGGCCUCCUGGGGCUGGGCCUCGUCCAUUGUGGGGUAGGCUCCAGAGGAACAUGGGCGGAGGCAGCGUUUGAUGAGUCACCACCUGCCAAGACUGACUUUUUCUU
rnacentral:lncRNA from 10 species